rnacentral:rRNA from 1 species
AUUGAACGCUGGCGGCAGGCCUAACACAUGCAAGUCGAGCGGAUGAAGGGAGCUUGCUCCUGGAUUCAGCGGCGGACGGGUGAGUAAUGCCUAGGAAUCUGCCUGGUAGUGGGGGACAACGUUUCGAAAGGAACGCUAAUACCGCAUACGUCCUACGGGAGAAAGCAGGGGACCUUCGGGCCUUGCGCUAUCAGAUGAGCCUAGGUCGGAUUAGCUAGUUGGUGAGGUAAUGGCUCACCAAGGCGACGAUCCGUAACUGGUCUGAGAGGAUGAUCAGUCAUACUGGAACUGAGACACGGUCCGGACUCCUACGGGAGGCAGCAGUGGGGAAUAUUGGACCAUGGGCGAAAGCCUGAGCCAGCCAUGCAGCGUGUGUGAAGAAGGUCUUCGGAUUGUAAAGCACUUUAAGUUGGGAGGAAGGGUUGUAGAUUAAUACUCUGCAAUUUUGACGUUACCGACAGAAUAAGCACCGGCUAACUCUGUGCCAGCCGCCGCCGUAAGAC